rnacentral:rRNA from 1 species
CAGUAGCCGCGGUAAGACAGAGGAUGCAAGCGUUAAUCGGAAUUACUGGGCGUAAAGCGCACGCAGGCGGUCUGUCAAGUCAGAUGUGAAAUCCCCGGGCUUAACCUGGGAACUGCAUUUGAAACUGGCAGGCUAGAGUCUUGUAGAGGGGGGUAGAAUUCCAGGUGUAGCGGUGAAAUGCGUAGAGAUCUGGAGGAAUACCGGUGGCGAAGGCGGCCCCCUGGACAAAGACUGACGCUCAGGUGCGAAAGCGUGGGGAGCAAACAGGAUUAGAUACCCCUGUAGUCCCUGUCUCUUAUAC